rnacentral:rRNA from 1 species
ACCGCCCGUACCGUAAACCGACACAGGUAUGCGGGGAGAGAAUCCUAAGGUGCGCGGGAGAACCCUCGUUAAGGAACUCGGCAAAAUGUACCCGUAACUUCGGGAUAAGGGUAGCCGCUGUUGUGAAAUCUGAACAGAUGGAGCAUAAGGCGGUCGCAGAGAAGAGGCCCAAGCGACUGUUUACCACAAACACAGGUGCCUGCUAAAGCGAAAGCUGACGUAUAGGUGCUGACACCUGCCCAGUGCCGGAAGGUUAAGGAAGGAUGUCCGGAGCAAUCCAAAGCAUUCGACCGAAGCCCCGGUGAACGGCGGCCGUAACUAUAACGGUCCUAAGGUAGCGAAAUUCCUUGUCGGGUAAGUUCCGACCCGCACGAAAGGUGUAACGAUUUGGGCACUGUCUCAACGAGGGACCCGGUGAAAUUGAAAUACCUGUGAAGAUGCAGGUUACCCGCGACUGGACAGAAAGACCCCAUGGAGCUUUACUGUAACCUGACAUUGGGUUUUGAUACAUCACGUACAGGAUAGGUGGGAGGCAUGGAAGCUGGGACGCUAGUCUCAGUGGAGCCGACGUUGGGAUACCACCCUUGAUGUAUCGGAAUUCUAACCGUAGUAGUAACGACACUCGGGACAGUGUCAGGCGGGCAGUUUGACUGGGGCGGUCGCCUCCCAAAGAGUAACGGAGGCGCCCAAAGGUUCCCUCAGCGCGGCCGGAAAUCGCGCGAAGAGUGUAAAGGCAGAAGGGAGCUUGACUGAGAGCCAAACACGGCGAUCAGGUACGAAAGUAGGGCUUAGUGAUCCGGUGGCAUCCAAGUGGAAGGGCCAUCGCUCAACGGAUAAAAGCUACCCUGGGGAUAACAGGCUAAUCUCUCCCAAGAGUCCAUAUCGACGGGGAGGUUUGGCACCUCGAUGUCGGCUCAUCACAUCCUGGGGCUGAAGUCGGUCCCAAGGGUUGGGCUGUUCGCCCAUUAAAGUGGUACGUGAGCUGGGUUCAGAACGUCGUGAGACAGUUCGGUCCCUAUCCAUCGCGGGCGUAAGAGAUUUGAAGGGGGCUGCUCCUAGUACGAGAGGACCGGAGUGGACGGACCAAUGGUGUACCAAUUAUCCCGCCAGGGGUACAGUUGGGUAGCUACGUCCGGAAAGGAUAAACGCUGAAAGCAUCUAAGCGUGAAACCAGCCUUAAGAUGAGAUCUCUCAUAGAGUAAUCUAGUAAGACACCUUAAAGAAGAUGAGGUUGAUAGGUCGGGAGUGUAAGUACAGUAAUGUAUUCAGCGGACCGAUACUAAUAUGUCGAGGGCUUGACUUA